CCGGUCUAGCUUCGAAUGAUAUUUUAGCUUCCAGCUGCUCUUCACUCAAUUAUCUCGGAGAAACCCUCACUUUGAGUGGCUGAGGUGAAAAGCCACAGGAGAGGGAUGUUUCCUUAGGAAGAAACAGAAGGGCAGCCCUUUUGCAACCAGGCCAGUGUGUAGGGUAGAGUGGAAAGGCCCCUCUGUAAGCUCCGUCGCUGGCGGGUGUGCGCAGGUGCCCUGGAGGAAUGUGUGGGGCGCGCUCGCUCUUCUAGGUGGGUGGGAUUUUGCCCCUCUUGAAUUCUUCCAAGCCGACCAGACCCCCAGACCCUCGCUCCUCUGUGGAAGGGCGAGGUGUGCGCCGCUGGCCUAGUGCCUGGUGCCGCGUCACCAGGGUGUCGCCCUGUAGCAGAAGGAAACAGGGAGGGGGGACAGUGGCCGCGCCAGAAAAGGGAGGCAGUCACAGGGACGUGCCCUGUAAAACCUAGACCGAGGUCUCCUGAGGCCGGCCGUACCUUGUGCCGAGUCCCCAGGCCAGAAAUAAACCUAUCAGGUUCUGUCCGUGGGGGGUCCGAGGGACGCGCCCGCGUGGUACUAGCACUUCAACCUUCGAAGCGGUCAGGUUCCUACCCCUCUUUCAUCGUUAAUCCUUUCUGCGCCCUGUCUGCUCCAAAAGAGCAAUUCAGUGCCUCUCCACCUUCCUGUCUUGAAACAGUCGGCCCACAGGGAGCCCCCGCAGCUGCUAUCCACGAAACUGCUACAGGUGGGCAGUCUGUGCGUUGUCUGGCUCACCGGCAGGAAGCGACCGUUUAUUUUCAAGAUGGUCUGUUAAAGGAGUCAGGAGCUAUUUAAUAAAGGCCCUGUUGUGAAAUUGGCCUGCAUGUGAUUCCAACUCCUCACCACUUCUUGCAGAUUAACAAGUUUGUUAAGUCAGGUUCAUGGAUCAAAUGACAGAAUGCAGCCAGGCUGGCAGUGCUUGGCUGUAAUACCACCGCCAUGGGAGGCUAAGUAGUGGGAUUGAACUCAGAAGCACACUACCACUGAAGCUACAUCCUAUCCCUUUUUAUUUUUUAUUUAUUUAUUUAUUUUUGGUACCAGGGAUCAAACUCGGGUCCCUGCGCUUGCAAGGCAAGCGACGGAACCACUGAGCUAAAUCCCUGGCCCUUUAUUUUUUGUUUUGAGAAAGGGUAUUGCAAAGUUACUCAGGCUGAUCCUGAAUUUGAGAUCCUCUUGCCUCAGCCUCGAGUAGCUGCGUAUCAACACACCUAGCUAGAUUUAUGUAAUUAAUAGCACAAAAUCAUAAAACAAAAAUGAAAUGAGGACUGCUAUAUGGCUCAGUGGUAGAGCACUUGCCUGACACCCUUGAGGCCCUGAGUUUGAUUCGGAACACCGCAUACACACACACACAACUUAUUUAGUGAUGUGGAAAGAUAGUCACCAUACACAGUGAAGUGACGUAUACAAGAUAAUCCAGUUUUCUAAGAAAAUUACAUUUUUGUAUGUAUGUAUGUGUAUCAAAAGAAUUCCUCUGUCUAUUGGAAUAAUGAAUUGUAUUAGUUCUCUGUUUUUAAAUGUUACAUAGUGAUAAUGUAUUGCUUUUGUAAUGGAAAACAAUAGUUACUUUUAAAUUGUCUUUGUUACUUAAGUGAAUAUUCUGUUCCCUUAG
ensembl:lncRNA